UAUCACCUUAUCCGGGAUCCUCAUAUGGAUAACUGCGGAAAUACUGGAGCUAAUACAUGCAACUAUACCCCAACGCAAGGCGGGGUGCAAUUAUUAGAACAGACCAAACGUUUUCGGACGUUGUUUGUUGACUCUGAAUAAAGCAGUUUACUGUCAGUUUCGACUGACUCUAUCCGGAAAGGGUGUCUGCCCUUUCAACUAGAUGGUAGUUUAUUGGACUACCAUGGUUGUUACGGGUAACGGAGAAUAAGGGUUCGACUCCGGAGAGGGAGCCUUAGAAACGGCUACCACGUCCAAGGAAGGCAGCAGGCGCGAAACUUAUCCACUGUUGAGUAUGAGAUAGUGACUAAAAAUAUAAAGACUCAUCCUUUUGGAUGAGUUAUUUCAAUGAGUUGAAUACAAAUGAUUCUUCGAGUAGCAAGGAGAGGGCAAGUCUGGUGCCAGCAGCCGCGGUAAUUCCAGCUCUCCUAGUGUAUCUCGUUAUUGCUGCGGUUAAAAAGCUCGUAGUUGGAUCUAGGUUACGUGCCGCAGUUCGCAAUUUGCGUCA
rnacentral:rRNA from 1 species